rnacentral:rRNA from 1 species
CCCUUAGAUGUUCUGGGCCGCACGCGUGCUACACUGAGUGGAUCAGCGGGUCAGGUUGCGCGAAAGCGUUUCCUAAUCUUUAAAUCCGCUCGUGAUGGGGAUUGACGGUUGCAAUUUUCUGCCAUGAACGAGGAAUACCUUGUAAGCGCGGGUCAUCAUCCCGCGCUGAAUACGUCCCUGCCCUUUGUACACACCGCCCGUCGCUCCUACCGAUUGAGUGGUCCGGUGAGGCUUUGGGAUCUGAGCGGAAAGAGCGUUUCGCUGUUUCUGCUCGGAAAACUCAGUCGAACCUUAUCAUUUAGAGGAAGGGGAAGUCGUAACA